rnacentral:pre_miRNA from 1 species
UCAUUUAUUUGUACUUUUAAAGACUAACAUGCUUGAUGAAAUAAUCAGACAGUAACAUGUGGUGCAUUACAUGUACAUUAUGUUAACAUAUAUGGACCAAUUUUUAACCAUAAAAAUGGAUGA